rnacentral:rRNA from 1 species
GCUACAGGCUUAACACAUGCAAGUCGAGGGGAAACGAUAGAGAAAGCUUGCUUUUUCUAGGCGUCGACCGGCGCACGGGUGAGUAACGCGUAUCCAACCUGCCCAUCACUUGGGGAUAACCUUGCGAAAGUAAGACUAAUACCCAAUGAUAUCUCUAGAAGACAUCUGAAGGAGAUUAAAGAUUUAUCGGUGAUGGAUGGGGAUGCGUCUGAUUAGCUUGUUGGCGGGGUAACGGCCCACCAAGGCGACGAUCAGUAGGGGUUCUGAGAGGAAGGUCCCCCACAUUGGAACUGAGACACGGUCCAAACUCCUACGGGAGGCAGCAGUGAGGAAUAUUGGUCAAUGGGCGAGAGCCUGAACCAGCCAAGUAGCGUGCAGGAUGACGGCCCUAUGGGUUGUAAACUGCUUUUAUAAGGGAAUAAAGUGGGAGUCGUGACUCCUUUUGCAUGUACCUUAUGAAUAAGGACCGGCUAAUUCCGUGCCAGCAGCCGCGGUAAUACGGAAGGUCCGGGCGUUAUCCGGAUUUAUUGGGUUUAAAGGGAGCGUAGGCCGGAGAUUAAGCGUGUUGUGAAAUGUAGACGCUCAACGUCUGCACUGCAGCGCGAACUGGUUUCCUUGAGUACGCACAAAGUGGGCGGAAUUCGUGGUGUAGCGGUGAAAUGCUUAGAUAUCACGAAGAACUCCGAUUG